rnacentral:ncRNA from 1 species
UACGAGCCAGGGGCAAUGUGAAACGGCAGGACUGCGCAGUCCGGCAACAUCAGCAGAAAGCCCGCUUUACGAGAAGGAUUGGCUGAAACGUAGAGAAAUAUUGAGCCUCCUGCAAGAGGCAGCCAAGCAAUAGCAUU